CAGGUGGCGCAUGGUUGUCGUCAGCUCGUGUCGUGAGAUGUUGGGUUAAGUCCCGCAACGAGCGCAACCCCUAUUGUUAGUUGCCAUCAUUCAGUUGGGCACUCUGGCGAGACUGCCGGUAAUAAACCGGAGGAAGGUGGGGAUGACGUCAAAUCAUCAUGCCCCUUAUGACCUGGGCUACACACGUGCUACAAUGGUUGGUACAACGAGUUGCGAGUCGGUGACGGCGAGCUAAUCUCUUAAAGCCAAUCUCAGUUCGGGUUGUAGGCUGCAACUCGCCUACAUGAAGUCGGAAUCGCUAGUAAUCGCGGAUCAACACGCCGCGGUGAAUACGUUCCCGGGCCUU
rnacentral:rRNA from 1 species